CCCAGACUCCUACGGGAGGCAGCAGUGGGGAAUAUUGGGCAAUGGGCGCAAGCCUGACCCAGCAACGCCGCGUGAAGGAAGAAGGCUUUCGGGUUGUAAACUUCUUUUAAGAGGGAAGAGCAGAAGACGGUACCUCUUGAAUAAGCCACGGCUAACUACGUGCCAGCAGCCGCGGUAAUACGUAGGUGGCAAGCGUUGUCCGGAUUUACUGGGUGUAAAGGGCGUGCAGCCGGGAGUGCAAGUCAGAUGUGAAAUCCCGCGGCUCAACCGCGGAACUGCAUUUGAAACUGUGCUUCUUGAGUGCUGGAGAGGCAGACGGAAUUCCUAGUGUAGCGGUGAAAUGCGUAGAUAUUAGGAGGAACACCAGUGGCGAAGGCGGCCUACUGGACGGUGACUGACGCUGAGGCUCGAAAGCGUGGGGAGCAAACAGGAUUAGAUACCCGAGUAUG
rnacentral:rRNA from 1 species